UGGGGAAUCUUCCGCAAUGGACGAAAGUCUGACGGAGCAACGCCGCGUGAGUGAAGAAGGUUUUCGGAUCGUAAAACUCUGUUGUAAGGGAAGAACACGUACCAGUUAACUGCUGGUACCUUGACGGUACCUUACCAGAAAGCCACGGCUAACUACGUGCCAGCAGCCGCGGUAAUACGUAGGUGGCAAGCGUUGUCCGGAAUUAUUGGGCGUAAAGCGCGCGCAGGCGGUCCCUUAAGUCUGAUGUGAAAGCCCACGGCUCAACCGUGGAGGGUCAUUGGAAACUGGGGGACUUGAGUGCAGAAGAGGAAAGUGGAAUUCCAUGUGUAGCGGUGAAAUGCGUAGAGAUGUGGAGGAACACCAGUGGCGAAGGCGACUUUCUGGUCUGUAACUGACGCUGAGGCGCGAAAGCGUGGGGAGCAAACAGGAUUAGAUACCCCGGUAGUCC
rnacentral:rRNA from 1 species